rnacentral:rRNA from 1 species
GGGUCAGCGACUUAUAUUCUGUAGCAAUGUUAACCGUAUAGGGCAGACGCAGGGAAACCGAGUCUUAACUGUGCGUUAAGUUGCAGGGUAUAGACCCGAAACCCGGUGAUCUAGCCAUGGGCAUGUUGAAGGUUGGGUAACACUAACUGGAGGACCGAACCGAAUAAUGUUGAAAAAUUAGCGGAUGACUUGUGGCUGGGGGUGAAAGGCCAAUCAAACCGGGAGAUAGCCGGUUCUCCCCGAAAGCUAUUUAGGUAGCGCCUCG